GCUGAGAAUGUAGAAAAUUUCAGUCUUGUAUUGCAAUCCUUGGUAGCUUCACCGGCAAUUUUCUCAUCCAGAAAAGGGUAUAGGCUUCUUUGGCCUGAAGGAGGCAACCUUGGAGAGAGUAUUUUAAGGCUGUAAAAAAAAGAUUUGCAGAUGGUUUGUUGUAUCGUUUACUGAAAUAUGAUCCAUGUGGAGCGUCUCAUGCUAACGAAGUUGAUCUUGACCAUCCUUUCUUUUAAGAGAGACUGAUCAAUCCGAUUCUUGUAACGGUUAUAAUAUACCCUCAUCAAUUUUCUUUUCUUCGCAUAACAUUAAAAAAAAAAAAAAAUCAAAUAAAUUACCCUUGGUAAAUAUUGUUACGCAGUAAGAAAGAUAUGAUACGUUGUAACGGUAAUGUAACAAGAGCAAAAUUUCCUUAUUUUCAAUGGAGCCGUUGCUUAUAAAUUUCGUUUCUUCGAUAUCAAUCAAAAACCAAAAAAAAAAACAUCUUUCAUCUUUGUCUCCUUCUUUCCUUUUGAAGACCUGCAAAUAUUUCUCGUCUCGAUCAAAGCUUUGCGACAGAUCACAGAUGUGCUUUCGAUCUCUCGUGACAACAUCUUCUAUCAAUCGAGUUCAAGUUAUGUCUCCCUUAUUUCACACGAUCCAAGAUCUUGCCACCGAAACGCUUUCACCGGAGGAUUCUUCGACGGCGAUCACGGAGAAGGAUGCGAGGAAGACGAUGGCGAAGAGACUGAUGGUGAAAUUGACGAUCAGUUAGCAGAUUCGUUGUUUGAUGGUUUUAGAGUACGAGUCGCCUCCGGAGGAAGAAGACGAAUUUGUGUUUCAUCGAUCAUCAUCACCACAACCCUAGGGUUUGAUCAAGAGUGAUCCAACUAUGGUGACAAGUGGGUGAUUUAAGGCAUAUGUAGAGUCAAACCUAUGUGGUUCUGAUUUGGGGUGGAAAAGCGUAAAUGUCCGGAGAAGUGAGGAGAUAGUAGAAGCUCUUGGAGACUAAAGAGAGGGAACGGUAGUAACUUUUCGACAUUCGGGGUAGGCAUUUUAGAAUGAGUUAAUUUGGAAGUAAUGAAAACGAUGGAGAUGACGGAGAUAUCAUAGUUUCCUUUUUCUGCUGCGGUUCUACUUUGGCGUCCAUAGCAACGAGAUAUAGUAAUUACUAGGUUUUUUAGGUCUUCAAAACAUACAUGUAAAGAAAUGAAGAUUGU